rnacentral:rRNA from 1 species
CGGUGGAGUAUGUGGUUAAUUCGAUGCAACGCGAAGAACCUUACCUGGUCUUGACAUCCCGGAGACCCUUAGGAAACUAGGGGGUGCUUCCAUCUGGAAGAAUCUGGAGACAGGUGCUGCAUGGCUGUCGUCAGCUCGUGUCGUGAGAUGUUGGGUUAAGUCCCGCAACGAGCGCAACCCUUGCCUUUAGUUGCCAGCAGUUCGGCUGGGCACUCUAAAGGGACUGCCGGUGUUAAACCGGAGGAAGGUGGGGAUGACGUCAAGUCCUCAUGGCCUUUAUGACCAGGGCUACACACGUACUACAAUGGCCGAUACAAAGGGCAGCGACACUGCGAGGUGAAGCCAAUCCCGUAAAAUCGGUCUCAGUCCGGAUUGGAGUCUGCAACUCGACUCCAUGAAGUUGGAAUCGCUAGUAAUCGUGGAUCAGCAUGCCACGGUGAAUACGUUCCCGGGCCUU